rnacentral:rRNA from 1 species
CCAUAAACCGGAGGAAGGUGGGGAUGACGUCAAGUCAGCAUGGCCUUUAUAUCCUGGGCUACACACACGCUACAAUGGGAAGGGACAAUAGGUUGCGAAGCCGCGAGGCGGAGCCAAUCCAGCAAAACUUCCCUCAGUUCAGAUUGCAGGCUGCAACCCGCCUGCAUGAAGUUGGAGUUGCUAGUAAACGCAGGUCAGCCAUACUGCGUUGAAUACGUUCCCGGGGCUU